rnacentral:rRNA from 1 species
UACGAAGGGGGCUAGCGUUGUUCGGAUUUACUGGGCGUAAAGCGCGUGUAGGCGGGCCGUUAAGUUGGGGGUGAAAGCCCGAGGCUCAACCUCGGAACUGCCUUCAAAACUGGCGGCCUGGAGCAAGAUAGAGGCGAGUGGAAUUCCGAGUGUAGAGGUGAAAUUCGUAGAUAUUCGGAGGAACACCAGUGGCGAAGGCGACUCGCUGGAUCUUUGCUGACGCUGAGACGCGAAAGCGUGGGGAGCAAACAGG